UAUGGAGAGGUUUUCAGCGCAUGGAUGCACUUCUGUGCUGUGCGUGUUUUCACUGAGAGCAUCCUUAGAUACGGUUUGCCACCGACAUUCUUGGCUGCGGUAUUGGCACCAUCCGUGAAAAGCGAGAAGAAAGUGCGAGCUAUCUUGGAGGAUCUAUGCGGCAACUCCAAUAGCUAUUGGAAAUCUGAUGAGGAAGUCAGUAUUGUCGGUCUAG
rnacentral:misc_RNA from 1 species